CCCUUAGAUGUUCUGGGCCGCACGCGCGCUACACUGAUGCAUUCAACAAGCCUAUCCUUGACCGAGAGGUCCGGGUAAUCUUUGAAAAUGCAUCGUGAUGGGGCUAGAUUAUUGCAAUUAUUAAUCUUCAACGAGGAAUGCCUAGUAAGCGUGAUUCAUCAGAUCGCGUUGAUUACGUCCCUGCCCUUUGUACGCACCGCCCGUCGCUCCUACCGAUUGAGUGUGUUGGUGAGGAGUUCGGAUUGGCAAUUGCUGGUGGUUCGCCAUGAGUUAAUGCUGAGAAGUCCUCCAAACCGCCCCACUUAGAGGAAGGAGAAGUCGUAACA
rnacentral:rRNA from 1 species